GGCUAUGGGAGAUGAAAGGAAAAUGGUGAAAUGGCGUGGAGGAAAGGGCUGGAAAACGGUGCCGGUUUGAGGGGGAAGAAGAUGCUGGCACCGGCUGGAGAGGGAGAAGGAAAAUGAAGGCUUGUGCAGGCGGCUGAAGAGGAAAAAUCUGCCAGACCAAAGGAGAGAGGGGGGCGGCGGCUCCCCUUGAAAAAAAAGGGUUUGCAGGGUUAAGAUUUUUAGGGUUUAUUUCCUCUUUUUUUUUUUUUUUUCAAAAAU
rnacentral:lncRNA from 1 species